AUCUUUAUAGUUUAUUAUUAAAAUAUUACACUGAAAAUGUAAAGAAAUCUUAAUUAAAGAUA
rnacentral:tRNA from 1 species